AUGUUCGAUGUGUGGAGUUCUGCUGUGGGAUGGUGGGACGAGUGGCAGCUGCGCAUCCUCGUCCUCGGCAGCCUCGGCAUUCAAUGGUUUCUGCUGGUGGCUGCCCCCAUGCGCAAGUACGGUCAGUACACCAUCCGGCGCUACUUCAUGCUAUGCAUACGGCUUGCAUACAUUAGCAGCGAUGCUCUGGCCAUCUAUGCGCUGGCUACCCUCUUCAACCGUCACGUCAGGGCGACCAGCGGCAGCAGUAGCUGUGAUGGCAUUGUGCACAACAAGGCCAAGAUCCUGGAGGUCCUAUGGGCUCCUGUCCUGCUCAUCCAUCUCGGCGGGCAGCAGGAGCUGACUGCCUACACCAUCGAAGACAACGAGCUGUGGGUAAAGCACACCGUGACCCUAGUGUCUCAGGUCGCGGUUGCCAUGUACGCCUUCUACAAGUCGUGGCCUAACUACAGCGACUGGAAGCUAUUGGCAUCAGCGAUCCUGCUCUUCGUCAUUGGGGUCGUCAGUUUAAGUGAGAAGCCAUGGGCCCUCAAGAAAGCCAGUAUUAAUAGAUUGGCGUCUGUGUCAGCGCCGAUACGAGGAACAAAGAAGCGUACAAGAUUGGCGGUGUACUUGGGCGAUCUUUUGUUCUCCGAUUGGUACAACUGCUCCACCACCAAUUCCGGCGACAAGAAGCAGGCGGCGGGUGAGGAGGACGAUAAUGUGGGCUUGUCGGAUGAAGAUAAAGUCUAUAUGGUGCUGUCGGAUAUGUCGAUGUCAGCUGCUGCCGAUGACCUUGUACAGCGAGGCAGAGCUCGAAAUGUCCAGGAUGUUCUUCGGCCUCUGACUCUGAGCACCAAGGCGGAAAAGGAUAUGAAGCGCUGGCUGCUUGGUGCGUAUGGGCUCUUAUAUACCAGAGGUAAUUUGGUUUUCACUCCCACAUACCUGGUCUACCAUGUGCUUGUGGUGCCGAUCCUGCACGUCGCCGCCCUCACGCUGUUUGCGACGGGCGACAAGGAUGGGUACAACCGCACGGAUGUGAAGAUCACAUACGUCCUCCUGUGCCUCACCGCCGCGCUGGAUGUUUUUGCGGUGUUCAUCCGCCAGCUACUGUACCGGGCCAUGUCUGCAAAGGGUGUCCCGUCCUUGUGCGAGACGGUACCAGGCUACAACCUCGUGGGCGCGGUUCUCCGGCGGAGGCAUAAGGACAUUGGGUGGCUGGUCAAGUGCGCUACCCGCAUGGGCUGCAAGGAGUACUUCGAGUGCCAGGGCGUCCGUCAAGACUACGGAUUGUACAAGAAUGUGUCGGAGAUGGUCCUUGCAGAUCUGGUGGAUGCACAGGGCCGCGACCUUGCCAAUUAUAGGGUCUUCACGGUGCCAGACGAAUCAGGCACCGCUGUGCUGCCGGCGGAGGAUGUUGGGGCAGGUGCCGAGAUAAUGCAGCAGAGCAGCCCGGGAGCGGCCAACUGGGCUCUAAGUGAGGAGCUGCAGAAGGUGUGCGGCCCCAAGGUACGGGACACCCUGCGCGGGUCCUUCGACAGGAGCGUCCUCGUCUGGCACAUCGCCACCGACCUCUGCUUCCGCAUGGAAGGUACUCCUCCCGCCAACUACGAGGAAGAUCCACACUGGCUUCGCAUCAAGUGCACGGAAGCAAUAUCCAGCUACAUGGCCCGGCUGCUGAAUUUCCACCCGGACAUGCUGCUCACCGGCAGCAGGCAGCACCUGGUCAGUGAAGCCAAGGAUGAAUUCGACUUCUUCUUGAACCUCGCCAUGGUAGGUAACAGCGGCAAGCCUCUCAGCAAAGACGACCUGACCAACAUCAUCGACCACGGGCCGGAAGGGGAACGCUUCCGCAUGCAGGUGCCCAUCGGCAUCGAUAAUGAAGCUGAAGACAAGGAGGUGAUAAGAUCUUUGUUCCACGUCCCCAAGGCAUGCAGUCUCGCAAAGGAGCUGCUGAAAAUUGAACCGCCGUCCACGCGCUGGAGGGUGAUGUACCGGGUGUGGCUGGGCAUGCUCUUCUACUCCGCCAGCAUGAGCAGGGGCUACCUGCACGCUAAGAGCUUGGGUGAAGGUGGUGAGUUUCUCUCCUACGUCUGGCUCGUCCUCUCGCUCAAGGGUGCCAAGACCCUGGUCGACAAGCUUCAGAUGGUGGAGGGAGACGACGAGGAACCAACACUGGCCGACAAGCCUCAGAUUCUGGAGGGAUCGGAGACGACCAGGAACCAACACCCUGGUGGAAACCCGCCAGUAUUUGGUUUGGAAAUCCUCCGUCUAUAA
rnacentral:rRNA from 1 species